GGCUUGAUGAUAUUAAUUUUAAGUCGAUCUGCCCAAUGAUUUAAAUUUUAAUGGCUGCAGUAUAAUUAACUGUACAAAGGUAGCAUAAUCAAUUGUUUUUUAAUUAAAAACUAGAAUGAAAGAAUUAAUGAGAUAUAUACUGUCUCAUAUAUAUAUAAUAAAUUUAAAUUUUUAGUAAAAAUGCUUAAAUUAUUUUAUAAGACGAUAAGACCCUAUAGAAUUUUAUAUUUAUAUAUAAUUAAUUAUUUAAUUAUAAUAUAAAUAUUUAAUUGGGAGGAUUAAUAAAUUUAAUAAACUUUAUUUUUAAAAUAAACUUUAAUUUUAGAAUAUAUUAAAUGAUCUUAUUAUUAUAAAUUAAAAAAAUAAAUUACCUUAGGGAUAACAGCGUAAUAUCUUUUUAAAGAUCAUAUUAAUAAAGAUGUUUGCGACCUCGAUGUUGAAUUAAGAUAAAUUUUAGGUGAAGAAAUCUAAAUAUUAAGUCUGUUCGACUUUUAAAAUCUC
rnacentral:rRNA from 1 species